rnacentral:rRNA from 1 species
UACGAAGGGUGCAAGCGUUACUCGGAAUUACUGGGCGUAAAGCGUGCGUAGGUGGUGAGUUAAGUCUGUCGUGAAAGCCCCGGGCUCAACCUGGGAAUGGCGAUGGAUACUGGCUCGCUAGAGUGCGGUAGAGGAGAGUGGAAUUCCCGGUGUAGCAGUGAAAUGCGUAGAGAUCGGGAGGAACACCUGUGGCGAAGGCGGCCACCUGGGCCGACCCUGACGCUGAGGCGCGAAGGCGUGGGGAGCGAACGGG